GACGAACGCUGGCGGCGUGCUUAACACAUGCAAGUCGAACGGAAAGGCCCUGCUUUUGUGGGGUGCUCGAGUGGCGAACGGGUGAGUAACACGUGAGUAACCUGCCCUUGACUUUGGGAUAACUUCAGGAAACUGGGGCUAAUACCGGAUAGGAGCUCCUGCUGCAUGGUGGGGGUUGGAAAGUUUCGGCGGUUGGGGAUGGACUCGCGGCUUAUCAGCUUGUUGGUGGGGGAGUGGCUUACCAAGGGUUUGACGGGUAGCCGGCCUGAGAGGGUGACCGGCCACAUUGGGACUGAGAUACGGCCCAGACUCCUACGGGAGACAGCAGUGGGGAAUAUUGCACAAUGGGCGGAAGCCUGAUGCAGCAACGCCUCGUGCGGGAUGACGGCCUUCGGGUUGUAAACCGCUUUCGCCUGUGACGAAGCGUGAGUGACGGUAAUGGGUAAAGAAGCACCGGCUAACUACGUG
rnacentral:rRNA from 1 species